UAAUUUUAGUUUCUUGUGUACAAUUUGGAAAUUAGUAUGGCGUCCAUUAUCACUGAACUAGUAUAUAUUUGUUAAGGGGCCAGCUGAAGGACGCCUCCGGGUGCGGGAAUUUCUCGCUACAUUGAAGACCUGUUAAUGACCUUCUGCUGUUGUUUUUUUCUAUGGUCGGGUUGUUGUCUCUUUGGCACAUUCCCCGUUUCCAUUCUCAAUUUUACAUA
rnacentral:lncRNA from 1 species